rnacentral:rRNA from 1 species
AGUCGAACGGCAGCACGGACUUCGGUCUGGUGGCGAGUGGCGAACGGGUGAGUAAUGUAUCGGAACGUGCCUAGUAGCGGGGGAUAACUACGCGAAAGCGUAGCUAAUACCGCAUACGCCCUUCAGGGGAAAGCGGGGGGACCUUCGGGCCUCCCCGCACUAUUAGAGCGGCCGAUAUCGGAUUAGCUAGUUGGUGGGGUAACGGCUCACCAGAGCGACGAUCCGUAGCUGGUUUUGAGGGACGACCAGCCACACUGGGACUGAGACACGGCCCAGACUCCUACGGGAGGCAGCAGUGGGGAAUUUUGGACAAUAGGGGAAACCUAGUCAGCCAUCCCGCGUGUGCGAUGAAGGCCUUCCGGGUUGUAAGCACUUUUUAGCAGGAAAGAAACGGCACGGGAUAUUACCCGUGCAACUGACUGUUACCUGCAGAAUAAGCACCGGCUAACUACGUGCCAGCAACCGCGGUAAUACGUAAAGUGCAAAGCGUUAAUCGGAAUUACUGGGCGUAAAGCGUGCGCGGGCGGUUCGGAAAGAAAGAUGUGAAAUCCCAGAGCUUAACUUUGGAACUGCAUUUUUAACUACCGAGCUAGAGUGUGUCAGGGAGGUGGAAUUCCGCGUGUAGCAGUGAAAUGCGUAGAUAUGCGGAGGAACACCGAUGGCGAAGGCAGCCUCCUGGGUAACACUGACGCUCAUGCACGAAAGCGUGGGGAGCAAACGGGAUUAGAUACCCUGGUAGUCCACGCCUAAACGUCAUCAACCUUUAGCUGUUGGGGCCUUCGGGCCUUGUUGCGUACAGCUAACGCGUGAAGUUGACCGCCUGGGAGUACGGUCGCAAGAUUAAAAACUCAAGGAAUUGACGGACCCGCACAAGCGGUGGAUGAUGUGGAUUAAUUCGAUGCAACGCGAAAAACCUUACCUACCCUUGACAUGUCUGGGAAUCCGAAGAGAUUUGGGAGUGCUCGCAAGAGAACCGGAACACAGGUGCUGCAUGGCUGUCGUCAGCUCGUGUGUCGUGAGAUGUUGGGUUAAGUCCCGCAACGAGCAUAGCCACUUAUUGUUAGUUGCUGCGAAGGGCACUCUAUUAGGACUGCCGGUGAACAAACAGGGUGGGGAUGACGUCAAGUCCUCAUGGCCCUUAUGGGUAGGGCCCACAUCUUCGUGGUCGGGACAGAGGGUCGCCAACCCCGCGAGGAGCCAAUCCAGAGAAACCAGUCAAUAGUCCGGAUCCUGAGUCUGCAACUCGACUGCGUGAAGUCGAAUCGCUAGCGUAAUCGCGGAUCAAAGCAUGUCGCGGUGAAUACGUUCCCGGGUCUUGUACGCACCGCCCGUCACACCAUGGGAGUGGGUUUUCCAGAAGUGAUUAGCCUAACCGUAAGGAGGGCGAUUACCACGGUAGGAUUCAUGACUGGGGUGAAGUCGUAACAAAGUGG